rnacentral:rRNA from 1 species
GAUGAACGCUGGCGGCGUGCUUAACACAUGCAAGUCGAACGGAAAGGCUCCUGCUUGCAGGGGUACUCGAGUGGCGAACGGGUGAGUAACACGUGGGUGAUCUGCCCUGCACUUCGGGAUAAGCCUGGGAAACUGGGUCUAAUACCGGAUAGGACGAUGGUUUGGAUGCCAUUGUGGAAAGUUUUUUCGGUGUGGGAUGAGCUCGCGGCCUAUCAGCUUGUUGGUGGGGUAAUGGCCUACCAAGGCGUCGACGGGUAGCCGGCCUGAGAGGGUGUACGGCCACAUUGGGACUGAGAUACGGCCCAGACACCUACGGGAGGCAGCAGUGGGUAAUAUUGCACAAUGGGCGCAAGCCUGAUGCAGCGACGCCGCGUGGGGGAUGACGGCCUUCGGGUUGUAAGCUCCUUUCGCUAGGGACGAAGCGCAAGUGACGGUACCUGGAGAAGAAGCACCGGCUAACUACGU